GACGAACGCUGGCGGCGUGCUUAACACAUGCAAAUCGAACGGAAAGGCCCUGCUUUUGUGGGGUGCUCGAGUGGCGAACGGGUGAGUAACACGUGAGUAACCUGCCCUUGACUUUGGGAUAACUUCAGGAAACUGGGGCUAAUACCGGAUAGGAGCUCCUGCUGCAUGGUGGGGGUUGGAAAGUUUCGGCGGUUGGGGAUGGACUCGCGGCUUAUCAGCUUGUUGGUGGGGUAGUGGCUUACCAAGGCUUUGACGGGUAGCCGGCCUGAGAGGGUGACCGGCCACAUUGGGACUGAGAUACGGCCCAGACUCCUACGGGAGGCAGCAGUGGGGAAUAUUGCAUAAUGGGCGGAAGCCUGAUGCAGCAACGCCGCGUGCGGGAUGACGGCCUUCGGGUUGUAAACCGCUUUCGCCUGUGACGAAGCGUGAGUGACGGUAAUGGGUAAAGAAGCACCGGCUAACUACGUG
rnacentral:rRNA from 1 species